rnacentral:rRNA from 1 species
AGUGAACGCUGGCGGUAGGCCUAACACAUGCAAGUCGAACGGCAGCACAGGAGAGCUUGCUCUCUGGGUGGCGAGUGGCGGACGGGUGAGGAAUACAUCGGAAUCUACUUUUUCGUGGGGGAUAACGUAGGGAAACUUACGCUAAUACCGCAUACGACCUACGGGUGAAAGCAGGGGAUCUUCGGACCUUGCGCGAUUGAAUGAGCCGAUGUCGGAGUAGCUAGUUGGCGGGGUAAAGGCCCACCAAGGCGACGAUCCGUAGCUGGUCUGAGAGGGUGAUCAGCCACACUGGAAAUGAGACACGGUCCAGACGCCUACGGGAGGCAGCAGUGGGGAAUAUUGGACAAUGGGCGCAAGCCUGAUCCAGCCAUACCGCGUGGGUGAAGAAGGCCUUCGGGUUGUAAAGCCCUUUUGUUGGGAAAGAAAUCCAGCUGGUUAAUACCCGGUUGGGAUGACGGUACCCAAAGAAUAAGCACCGGCUAACUACGUGCCAGCCGCCGCCGUAA